AGCAGCCGCGGUAAUUUCAGCUCCAAUAGCGUAUAUUAAAGUUGUUGCAGUUAAAAAGCUCGUAGUUGAAUUUCGGGGUUCAUCCGUUGGUCGGGCUUUUUUGGUCUGUACUGGCGUGAUGGAUUCCUACCUUCUGAAUAACCAGCAUGUCAUUAAUUUGGUGCGCUGGGGAAGCAGGACUGUUACCUUGAAAAAAUUAGAGUGCUUAAAGCAGGCUAUCGCCUGAAUACAUUAGCAUGGAAUAAUGAAAUAGGACGGCAUGGUUCUAUUUUGUUGGUUUCUAGGAUCACCGUAAUGAUUAAUAGGGAUAGUUGGGGGCAUUAGUAUUCAAUUGUCAGAGGUGAAAUUCUUGGAUUUAUUGAAGACUAACUUCUGCGAAAGCAUUUGCCAAGGAUGUUUUCAUUAAUCAAGACGAAAGUUAGGGGAUCGAAGACGAUCAGAUACCGUCGUAGUCUUAACCAUAAACUAUGCCGACUAGGGAUCGGACGAUGUUAAUUUUUAAUGACUCGUUCGGCGCCUU
rnacentral:rRNA from 1 species